rnacentral:rRNA from 1 species
UACGUAGGGCGCAAGCGUUGUCCGGAAUUACUGGGCGUAAAGCGUGCGCAGGCGGUUUUGUAAGCCAGAUGUGAAAUCCCCGGGCUUAACCUGGGAAUGGCAUUUGGGACUGCAAGGCUGGAGUGUGGCAGAGGAGACUGGAAUUCCUGGUGUAGCAGUGAAAUGCGUAGAGAUGUGGAGGAACACCAGUGGCGAAGGCGACUCUUUGGCCUGUAACUGACGCUGAGGCGCGAAAGCGUGGGGAGCAAACAGG